rnacentral:lncRNA from 1 species
GAGUAGAGAUGUCUAUAUGUUAUCUAAAGAAUUAAAGGCUGGAAAGCAUUUUCAUUUCAAUGCAUUAUAUUUGGGCAUGGUGGCUUAUGCCUGUAACCCUAGCAUUUUUGGAAGCCAAAGGAGGAUCACUUGAGUUCAGGAGUUCGAGCCCAGCCUGGGCAACAUAGUGAGACCUCAUCUGUACAACAUUUUUUUUCUAAAAGUUGGACGGGCAUGUGGCAUGCAGCUGUAGUCUCAGCUACCAGGUGGUGGAGGGGAAGGGUUGCUUGUGCUCAGAAGGUUGAGGCUGUAGUGAGCCAUGAUGGUGCCACUGCACUUCAGCUUGGGUGACAGAGUGAGACCCUCAAAAAAAUGCAUGAUUAUAUUUUAAAUUGAUCAAUGUUAUAUUGUGUUUGCUAAUUUUUAAAUAAGAAUUUUGUGUGAAGGGCAGUAUUUUAGAGAAUAUAAUUCAAUUUCUAAAGGAAAGGACACUGAACUGGGAGUCAGGGAACCUCAUGCCAGGUUAUAGCUCUGCUUUUAUUUUUUAUUUAUUUAUUUUUUUUCCAGACAGAGUCUUACUCUGUUGCCCAGGCUGGAGUGCAAUGGGUGUGAUCUCAGCUCACUGCAACCUCCGCCUCCCAGGUUCAAGCGAUUCUCCUGCCUCAGUCUCCUGAGUAACUGGGAUUAUUGGCACAUGCCACCAUGCCCAGCUAGUUUUUGUAUUUUGUAUUUUUGGUAGGGUUUUGCCAUGUUGGUCAGGGUGAUCUUGAACUCCUGACCUCAGGUGAUCCACCUGCCUUGGCCUCCCAAAGUACUGGGAUUACAGGUAUGAGCCACCACGCCCAGCCAGCUCUGCUCUUAUAAAUAUGACCUAAAGUGUUGAAGUCUCAUUUCCAACUUAUGCAAAAUUUAGAUUCCUUCAAAGCCUGAUUUUCUGUAAUUCUAAUAAUUUCAUCACAAUUAGGACUUUGAAACCAAUGCAUCAGAUACGUUGAAUAUUGUGUUUUUCUUUCCUAAAAUAUAUUCAGCUGUUUAUGGAUAAAUACGUAGAAAAUUGCAGGUAAAAAAAAUCUAAGCAAAUGAUAAAACAGCAACAAACUGCAAGGGAGAAGAUAUUUUAGUCCAUAUUUUAAAUUCUAAUUUUCACUUUUAGAAUGUUUUAGAAGAGGCUGUGAAAUGGACGUGGUCAGGGAAGCUGGGCUGAAAAGAAGAAUCUCUGGGAAAGCCGGUGAUGUAGGGGCAGAUAAAGGAAGAUGGAGGUGUGAAGGAAGGAUUUAAUAGGAUGAAAGUGAUUUGAGCAUGUGUAUAUAGGUUAAGGAGAAUGAGCUGGUAGAAGAUAUAAGAAGGUUUGGGAAAAACUGAUGGAGCAAGAUCCUGAGUUAACGGGAGCAGAGUGGAUCCUAAUCAUUAGUGGGGGUUAACCUCAAACGGGGGAAGAUGCCUAGUCCCCUGACAACGCAUCUUUCCUGCAGAGAUGUUUUAAGGAGGGUUGCAGAAAGUGAUGUGUGUGUGGACGAGGCAGGUAGUACAUCUCUGUGGGAAGUGAGGUCAUCUGAAAGUGACGGUGAUAGGGAAGUAAAGAAAAUGGUGAAGGUUGGAGACAGCUAUGAAAAUGAGUGAAAGGACAACUGAGAAGAUUCUUGCAUAGGGUUAAGAGCACAGGUUAGAUGUGCAGAAGAGGCAGGUUGUCGGGUUAAGUCAGGAUG